AAGACGACGACGUUGAUAGGCCGGGUGUGUAAGCGCAACGAUGCGUUGAGCUAACCGGUACUAAUGAACCGUGAGGCUUAACCUU
rnacentral:rRNA from 1 species